UACGUAGGGGGCAAGCGUUGUCCGGAAUCAUUGGGCGUAAAGCGCGUGUAGGCGGCCCGGUAAGUCCGCUGUGAAAGUCGGGGGCUCAACCCUCAAAUGCCGGUGGAUACUGUCGGGCUAGAGUGCGGGAGAGGCGAGUGGAAUUCCUGGUGUAGCGGUGAAAUGCGCAGAUAUCAGGAGGAACACCAAUUGCGAAGGCAGCUCGCUGGAACGUAACUGACGCUGAGACGCGAAAGCGUGGGGAGCAAACAGG
rnacentral:rRNA from 1 species